rnacentral:rRNA from 1 species
UACGGAGGGGGCUAGCGUUGUUCGGAAUUACUGGGCGUAAAGCGCGCGUAGGCGGACCUGCAAGUCGGGGGUGAAAGCCCGAGGCUCAACCUCGGAACUGCCUUCGAUACUGCGGGUCUCGAGUCCGGGAGAGGUGAGUGGAAUUCCUAGUGUAGAGGUGAAAUUCGUAGAUAUUAGGAAGAACACCAGUGGCGAAGGCGGCUCACUGGCCCGGUACUGGACGCUGAGGCGCGAAAGCGUGGGGAGCAAACAGG